UACAACAUCUUAUAUUUUAAUGUAUUAAAAGAGGUCAGAAAAAAUUGUGCCUUUUUUGUUUUCACUUAAAAAAUAUUUUUGGAAUAACUACUUUAUUCUGUAAUACCUUAAGUGUACGUGCACACAGGACGCGAUUAAGCGAUAAGCGAUACUCUGCGAUGCGGUGCGAUUAAUACAAACCUCUAAAAUCAAAAGCAAGCGUUCAAACAGCGCGCUUGUUGCUGCUUUAAGAUGCGAUGCGAUGCAACGCGAUAUCGCGCGUCUGUUUGAUUUUUAAGCAAGUUUGAAUUUAAUCGCUUGGAUCCUCGCGCUGCUAGCUAUUGUCUAGUUAUAUUUGUCCGUAUUUCGUGUGGUAUGGAUGCAGAAAAAUUAAUAAAUGCAGUCCGAGUGCGUCUUCCACUAUGGGAUCAACAAAACAAAGGCUAUCGAGAUCGGGACAAAAAUUAUGGCAGGAGGUAGCUGCAGAACUAAACGUUUCAAAAGAAGCUGCUAAAAAAAGAUGGAAAUCUUUACGAGAUGUCUUCAGAAAUAAGCGAAGAAGUUGCUGAAACCUAAAUCUGGAGAAGAAAUUCCUUCAUACUUUAGUUCAAAGUGGACUUACUUUAAAAUUUUAUGGUUCCUUAAGGAUCAAAUGACUCCGAGACAGCUAACUGGCAACUUACCCACUGACAAUAACGCAAGCCAACUAAACGAAGAUGUAUCCAAUGACUAUUUAUUUCCUGAUGACAUCGACGAUGAGAUAUCUGUUACUCCGGAUGAAAGAAUUGAAUCAGAACAACUAUUAUCUGAUCACAACAACCAAACUAUUGCAACCACUAGCUCAGAUAAAAAUGUACAUCAAGAGCCAACUGACUGUCGGUAUCCACCAAAACGUCCUGCAAAAAGAGCAGCUAAAAGAAAAGAUGACUUUGAUAUUGAAGAAUUUAAAAAAAAUAGAGCAAUAAAAUAUUGACGUUCUUAAAGCAAAUAAUUCCGUUUUAUCGACACAAUCUCAGAUUACUCAGGAUGAUGACUAUCACUUUCUUACGAGUUUCCAUACACCGCUAAAAAAAAUGCGUUUUGAAACAAAGAUGUGGUUUCGUCUCAAGAUGCAGGAGCUGCUUUAUCAAGCCACAGUGAACGAGCACCAUGUUGAAAAUAUAAGUUUUUGCCAAUAAUAUGCCAACUCAUCAGCCUCAAAUGACACACACUUUUGUGGCAACACCAUUGGCUUCACCCGCUUAUUCCACAGAAACAAAUAGUUCUUACACAAUUCUCCCCUGAAAAAAAAAGACAUAUUUUAUACGUUUACAUUUCUAAGAUAACUGUAACGAAUUUGAAAUAAAAUAUUUAAGAACUCACAUA